AUGCUGACAGGUGGGCCCAUCUUGUCAGAAAGGCGUUUAGAAGAGGCGAAUCGUUGGGGGAAGGCCGCGGAAGAGCUAUCUAGGAGCCAUCUGGACGCGGUGAAGCGGAUGGUCGAGGAGUACCAUAGGCCGGUGGUGACCAUGGAGGGCGCCAGCUUGACAAUUGCCAUGGUCGCGGCUGGGUACUCCGGCAUCCGCUUCAAGAUACUCAAGACAAUCGCCAAACUUCUCAACGCCAACGUCACGCCAUGUCUGCCACUCCGGGGCACGAUCACCGUGUCUGGUGACCUCGUCCUGCUUUCCUAUAUCGCGGGUCUCGUGACCGGCCAGGUAAACUCCAUGGCCAUGGCUCCAGACGGUAGCAAGGUUAAUGCCGCCAAGGCGUUCAAGAUGGCCAGCAUCGAGCAUGCCUUUUUUGAGCUACAGCCCAAGGAAGGGCUUGCCAUGGUUAAGGGCACGGCUGUUGUCUCGGGUCUCGCGUCCAUGGUUCUUUUCGAGGCUAACAUCCUCGGCGUCCUUGCUGAGGCUCUGUCGGCAAUUUUCUACGAGGUCAUGAAUGGCAAGCCGGAGUACACCGACCACUUGUCCCACAAGCUGGAGCACCACAGAUUGAGCCUGCUGCCUUCAUGGAGCACGUCCUUGAAGGAAGCUCCUACAUGGCACUCGCGAAGAAGCUCGGCGAGCUUGACCCAUUGA
rnacentral:rRNA from 1 species